rnacentral:rRNA from 1 species
GACGAACGCUGGCGGCGUGCUUAACACAUGCAAGUCGAACGGAAAGGCCCUGCUUUUGUGGGGUGCUCGAGUGGCGAACGGGUGAGUAACACGUGAGUAACCUGCCCUUGACUUUGGGAUAACUUCAGGAAACUGGGGCUAAUACCGGAUAGGAGCUCCUGCUGCAUGGUGGGGGUUGGAAAGUUUCGGCGGUUGGGGAUGGACUCGCGGCUUAUCAGCUUGUUGGUGGGGUAGUGGCUUACCAAGGCUUUGACGGGCAGCCGGCCUGAGAGGGUGACCGGCAACAUUGGGACUGGGAUACGGCCCAGACUCCUACGGGAGGCAGCAGUGGGGAAUAUGGCACAAUGGGCGGAGGCCGGAUGCAGCAACGCCGCGUGCGGGAUGCCGGCCUUCGGGUGGUAAACCGCUUUCGCCUGUGACGAAGCGUGGGUGACGGUAAUGGGUAAGGAAGCACCGGCUAACUACGU